AGAGUUUGAUCCUGGCUCAGGAUGAACGCUGGCGGCGUGCCUAACACAUGCAAGUCGAGCGAUUCUCUUCGGAGAAGAGCGGCGGACGGGUGAGUAACGCGUGGGUAACCUGCCUCAUACACAUGGAUAACAUACCGAAAGGUAUGCUAAUACAAGAUGAUAUAAGAGAUUCGCAUGGAUUUCUUAUCAAAGCUCCGGCGGUAUGAGAUGGACCCGCGUCUGAUUAGCUAGUUGGUAAGGUAACGGCUUACCAAGGCGACGAUCAGUAGCCGACCUGAGAGGGUGAUCGGCCACAUUGGAACUGAGACACGGUCCAAACUCCUACGGGAGGCAGCAGUGGGGAAUAUUGCACAAUGGGCGAAAGCCUGAUGCAGCAACGCCGCGUGAGCGAUGAAGGCCUUCGGGUCGUAAAGCUCUGUCCUCAAGGAAGAUAAUGACGGUACUUGAGGAGGAAGCCCCGGCUAACUACGUGCCAGCAGCCGCGGUAAUACGUAGGGGGCUAGCGUUAUCCGGAUUUACUGGGCGUAAAGGGUGCGUAGGUGGUUUCUUAAGUCAGGAGUGAAAGGCUACGGCUCAACCGUAGUAAGCUCUUGAAACUGGGGGACUUGAGUACAGGAGAGGAAAGUGGAAUUCCUAGUGUAGCGGUGAAAUGCGUAGAUAUUAGGAGGAACACCAGUAGCGAAGGCGGCUUUCUGGACUGUAACUGACACUGAGGCACGAAAGCGUGGGGAGCAAACAGGAUUAGAUACCCUGGUAGUCCACGCCGUAAACGAUGAGUACUAGGUGUCGGGGGUUACCCCCCUCGGUGCCGCAGCUAACGCAUUAAGUACUCCGCCUGGGGAGUACGCUCGCAAGAGUGAAACUCAAAGGAAUUGACGG
rnacentral:rRNA from 1 species